CCUACGGGGGGCAGCAGUGAGGAAUUUUGCGCAAUGGCCGCAAGGCUGACGCAGCAACGCCGCGUGGGUGAUGAAGGCCUUCGGGUCGUAAAGCCCUGUCAGGUGGGAAGAAAGGUUUCAAGGAGCAACACUUGGGAUUUGACGGUACCAUCAGAGGAAGCACCGGCUAACUCCGUGCCAGCAGCCGCGGUAAUACGGAAGGUGCGAGCGUUAUUCGGAAUUAGUGGGCGUAGAGCGUGUGAGGUGAGGGCCCUGGGCUUAACCUGGGAAGUGCAGUGGAAACUGUUUUUCUUGAGUACUGGAGAGGAAGGGGGAAUUCCCGGUGUAGAGGUGAAAUUCGUAGAGAUCGGGAGGAAUACCAGUGGCGUAGGCGCCCUUCUGGACGGUAACUGACGCUGAGACGCGAAAGCGUGGGGAGCAAACAGGAUUAGAUACCCUAGUAGUC
rnacentral:rRNA from 1 species